rfam:Rhizopogon vinicolor AM-OR11-026 unplaced genomic scaffold K503scaffold_781, whole genome shotgun sequence.
GGGCGCUUAGCGCAGUGGUAGCGCGUAUGCUUUGCAUUAGCAUCCGAAUUGUAUAAGGUCCAGGGUUCAAUCCCCUGAGCGUCCA